rnacentral:lncRNA from 1 species
GAUUCAAAACUCCUAAGUGAUGAUCACAGUAACCUUAGGUAUUUCUUAAUUCUCCAUAAUAAAUAUAGCAUCUGAGUCUAAUUUCUUCUGGGAGAUUUAUUAACUUUUAAGAUAGCAUGUGUCACUUACAUAAUCUAACAAUGCAUUUUGCAUACUAAAAUGAUGAAACAUUCUUAAUGAAUUUAAAUAGCUACUUUAUCAGAAACAGGAGUCAUAAGUUGAAUUUUUAUGUGAUUUAUCAAUUGC